ACUGUAUUCAGUUUCACAGUUUUUAUCUUCCAGCUCGGCAGUGGAUGUUCCCCUUUGGUUUGCAGCUGCUUGACACGCGUUGUCGUAUCACGUUAGACAUUUGUAGACGUGACGUUAGCGAAAGGGCAUCGGCUCAGCCCUUGAAUUCUGCAGUCUAAUACCAUGUGAGCCUGCGAUUCUCUAGAGGUGUUUCUUUAACGAAAAGAUCUCUGCUUUAAGACCGAGUGAUGAAAUUAGCACGUGUUUGAGGGAAAAGCUUGAAUCAGCUCCUGUCUAGCUCUCAGCUGUGAGACAAAUCAUUUAACUGGGUCUGUUUCCUUUUCUGUAAAACAAGAGGGUUGGAUUAAAAAUAUCGUUUGGCUCUCCUGAGACUUAUACUUUAGUAUCUUAAAGAAAUCUUGAUGAAAGCGAAUGCUUUUUAUUUUCAGUUAAGAGAACGUGUUGUGAAGGAGGGUGUGGUUAGCAUUAGCGUCGAAAUAAGUGCUUGUCAUGAUGUGACAACCUUCACACAACCUCAGCUGUGGGAAGCCGACUGCCUCAUUGUUGUCCAAUGGGGACGCUUAGAAAGUACCACACAUAUCUAUCCCAAAUCAUACACUGAAAAGGCACGGUAAAAUUCUUUCUAUUGUAACUUGCACUGAAAUGUAACACUACAUCGUGAUGUUAAAAGCCCGGAAGAAAAUUCAUUUUGGCCAACCUUCUCAUGGUAGGAGUGUGUGUGACCUGGGGAUCCUGUUUAAUAAUUUAGGUUAGGGGUUGGCAACUUUUUUCUGUAAAGGGCCAGAUUGUAGGCAUUUUAGCCUUCAAGGUCUGGAUGGUGUCUGUCGCGACUACUCAAGUCUACUGUGAGAGCAGGAAAACAACCAUGUGCAAAAGUAAAUGAACAGAGAUAGCUGUGUUCCGAUAAAACUUUAUUUGCAAAAAGAGGUAGAGGGCCAGAUUUGUCCCACAGGCCAUAGUUGGCUGACCGCCGGUUUAUAAAAUCCCCGGAAGAGCCCUUGAUGGUGUGUGACAGAGCACCACAUUGCCCAGCAUCACAGUACAGAUGAGUUGUCCAAUCAAUGACAGAAUCCUCAUGGGCCACUUAGAGACCGGUAGACUGUGCCAUUCUCAUCGAAAAGAAACCAGCCCCAAAUUUCAUUUUCAUCAACUUGCUUAAUACUCAUAAUCAAUAAGGGCACCUGGGUGGCUCAGUCGGUUAAGCUUCCGACUUUGGUUCAGGUCAUGAUCUCACAGUUUAUGAGUUCGAGCCCCACAUUGGUCUCUGUGCUGACAGCUCAGGGCCUGGAGCCUGCUUCAGAUUCUCCAUCUCCCUCUCUCUCUGCCCCUCCCCUGCUCAUGCUCUGUCUCUCUCUC